UAUGUGCCUGUGGACCACAUCGU
rnacentral:miRNA from 1 species